CAGACUAUACUUUCAGGGAUCAUUUCUAUAGUAUCCAACUAGAGAAAUGCACUCGAAAGUGAUUGGCUGAGAUUGUGGGCCAUGGCUAUAACAUAGUGUACUAAUAACAGUAUUAUUUGAAUAGC